GCGAUUGGAGAAUAUAAAACCCUAAAAUGGAAAGCAGAGGAGUGACUGGAAAUAAAGCUUUAGAAACUGAAUACAUGGCUGUGAAUGGUAACAACGUCUCUUUCCUAGCGAUAAGGAUCGACUGAGAAAAUCCUCCAUGGUGGGUUAGAAGAUGCUAAAGAAACAUUGAAAUAUUUGAGCUACAGACUCAGAUGGCCAAGAGGCUCCAGAGGGGCAGGCCUGGUGGUGAGUGGAGCUGCAGAGAUUGCACCUGCCGAGGGUGAGAGACAGAAAAGUGGCAGAACCUAAACCAGAGCCCCGGCCCCCACCCAGCCUUUGCAAUCACCCAUUGAGUAUCCCGUGUCCGGUGACUUGAGAUCAAGACCAAGGAGAAAAGAAAAGUUCACAUGUCAAAAAUAUAUCCACAAGCUUCAACCAAACAAUAACUUCGAAACAUGCCUUUCUGUCUCUCUUGGAAAAGGAUUUCUGAAUGUCGGAGUGAGAUUUGUUACCUGAUGAUGCCUCAGGUCUGUGAAGACUUCUCCUCCCAGGGUCUCGAGGGAAGUGGAAGGAAGUGCCCAUCAGGUUAAUGCUGGAAACCUAGUCCCGUGUGUGACCCGAGGGAACUCGUCAUCGUGCGUUCGGUCCCGCCUCUCAAUGCUGUUGCAUUGGGGAUCAAGUUUCAAACACAUGAACUUUGAGGGACGUCUUCAGACUACAGCACCCAUCCACUUGGAUGUUUGUAAGUAGUGACUGCAAAUAAAUGUCGAUGGAUCCACAUAAAAGCCCCGACAGAGAAACUGAGUCUUUGUCCACCUCUGUCUUUAGGAAGGAAAUGCGGAAAGGGAGCAGCCACCUUAAUACUUUGGGGAUGAAGAAGCCAUUUAUUCA